ensembl:lncRNA
GGAAUACAGAGUCGUGUCAUUGCUGGGAGUCGGAGCGUCAGUGUUGUUUGAUGUCUGGGCCCAUGGUGUUUUGCUGCAGGAGGGGGCGGGACCAGCUCGCUGAGGCGUCUGCUGCGAUUUUUGUAGCUGUUUCUGAAAACACUGGAGAUGGAUUCACUGGUGACAGCGCUGUGGCGGUGAUCUUCCUAAACAAACAAAAGAACAACAGCAAUGAAAUGAAAAGGCGGCUGUCUCCUUGGUCUGCUCCCCCAGCGCCCCCGCCAGCCCUCCGUCCCUCCGGUGUUCUUUCCGGGAGGGGGUGGACGUCACUCGCGUCCCUAUGGUCCGCUCCUUUCUCGCACGUGUGCGUGUAUCCACCGACAGCUCGCAGGGUGGGGUUGCACCUUCUAAGCGUGCAGAUGCGCACCUGCGCUGUACGCGCCACCCUGCACUGGUCCCUGCCGUCCAGGUCACGCCUGACGGCCUCCCCCCCCACCCACCCCCCGCCCCUCGUGAAGCCCCGGCUCGUGUCCACGGAUGGCCGUGCAGGGUCACGAUUCAUGGUCACAGCGGUCGCCUCUGAUUGUGCGCUGUUACAAUGAACAUCUUUGGACGUGUCGGGGGGCGGACAGUGUCGGAGACGGUCCGGGGACUUCCAGGGAGACGGCAGCAGGGUGAGGAGCCUGGGGGCCGCCCUCUCACGCUCUCCCCCGCCGUCUGGAGGGAAGCCGGGCCCCACCGUGAGCUCCCUGCGCGGAGGGCCGUUUUUCCCCUGCCUGCUCAGGCCGCUGCGUCCUUAGCGGAAGUGGGACGGCCCCUUGGACUCCGCUGGCGCCUCUGCGGCUCUCACCGCACUCGGGUCACUGGAGCACAAGCGGAGCGCUUUCUCCGGGGCGGGGUCCCUCCCAGGCCCUCGGGGCCGGGCGCUCUCACACCUUCAGGCCCA